rnacentral:rRNA from 1 species
UGCUUAUAAACUAUAUACAACUUUCAACAACGGAUCUCUUGGCUCUCGCAUCGAUGAAGAACGCAGCGAAAUGCGAUAAGUAAUGUGAAUUGCAGAAUUCAGUGAAUCAUCGAAUCUUUGAACGCACCUUGCGCUCCUUGGUAUUCCGAGGAGCAUGCCUGUUUGAGUGUCAUUAAAUUCUCAA